rnacentral:lncRNA from 1 species
GAUCUGCAAGCAUUGAGCUACGCGUGCAGGAUUCGCACGUAGGCAGGGCGCGUUACGGGAGCCCAACUGAUGGGGCAUGGGCGUAGUCAGCCUGGUGCGCAUCCACGUGGGCGCACGCCGCGCAGGCAUUUUUGUGUGGGUAUGCAGGUAGACCCGCGCGGACUAGGUUUUUCUUACGGCUUUCCUCUUCAAAAUUCUUUUUCAUUUCUCUUUUUAUUUUGAAAACCUUAUAAAAUAAA